rnacentral:rRNA from 1 species
UACGAAGGGGGGCUAGCGUUGCUCGGAAUCACUGGGCGUAAAGGGUGCGUAGGCGGACUCUUAAGUCAGGGGGUGAAAUCCUGGAGCUCAACUCCAGAACUGCCUCUGAUACUGGGGAUCUUGAGUCCGGAAGAGGUAAGUGGAACUGCGAGUGUAGAGGUGAAAUUCGUAGAUAUUCGCAAGAACACCAGUGGCGAAGGCGGCUACCUGGACCGGUUCUGACGCUGAGGCGCGAAAGCGUGGGUAGCAAACAGG